AUUGAACGCUGGCGGCAGGCCUAACACAUGCAAGUCGAGCGGCAGCGGGAAAGUAGCUUGCUACUUUUGCCGGCGAGCGGCGGACGGGUGAGUAAUGCCUGGGAAAUUGCCCAGUCGAGGGGGGUAACAGUUGGAAAAGACUGCUAAUACCGCACACGCCCUAUGGGGGAAAGCAGGGGAGCUUCCGGCGUCGCGCGAUUGGAUAUGUCCAGGUGGGCUUAGCUAGUUGGUGAGGUAAAGGCUCACCAAGGCCACGAUCCCUAGCUGGGCUGAGAGGAUGAUCAGCCACACUGGAACUGAGACACGGUCCAGACUCCUACGGGAGGCAGCAGUGGGGAAUAUUGCACAAUGGGGGAAACCCUGAUGCAGCCAUGCCGCGUGUGUGAAGAAGGCCUUCGGGUUGUAAAGCACUUUCAGCGAGGAGGAAAGGUUGGUGCCUAAUACGUAUCAACUGUGACGUUACUCGCAGAAGAAGCACCGGCUAACUCCGUGCCAGCCGCCGCAGUAAUAC
rnacentral:rRNA from 1 species